GUGGCUCUCGAGCCGCAGUUUGCCGACCAUGGGCCUGAUUUGCUCUUGACACCUCCAGAAUUUAGUCUUAACUAUACCACCAGUGUUCCUCUUAAAACCUUCCAUUGACUUCCCUUCUUAGAGUAAAAUACAAAGUCCUUCCAGGGUGGCUGAAGUGGCAUUAUUAUCUACCGAAGUCCCGUGAGAUCUGGGCCAGUCACAGCUCUCUGACGGUAGUUCCUCCCACCUUCCCCCUCUGUUUCAGCCCUGUUGGCCUUGUGUUCCUUGACUACAUCAGAGAUGCUUCCACCUUUGGGCUCUACCCGCUGUUCCUUCUGCCUGGAAUUCUGCCCAGAUCUCUCUCUCUCUCUCACUCCUUCAUCCCCUUGCAGUCUUUGCUCAAAUGUAACUUUGUCAGUAAAGUGAUAACCCUAUUUAAAAUUGCCAUCCACGCUACCUUUUUUUUCCCUUAGCACUUACAAUCUGAUAUGUAGUUUAUUUAUUUAAUGCCUCUUCCCCCUACCAGAAGGUAAGCUUCAUGAGAAUAGGAAUGUUUAGCUCUUUACUCAUUGUUUUAUUUCCAAUACCCACUAUAGCGCUGGUCGCAAAAUAGGCACUAAAUAAAUAAUUAUUGAAUAAGUAAGUGACUGCUAUUCCACUCUGUAGCUAGGUACUGAACAGGACAGAAUUCCCUUCCAUAAUAUAUUGUGCUUCCUUUUUCUAGGAGGUCUCAGGGACUAUGGGCUUAAAGAUAAAAUUCUUCUCUAGAGCAGGGGUCUGUAAAUACAGCCUCCGAGCCAGAUUCCACCCACGCCUUCUUUUUGUACUGCCCACGAGGCUUAGCCCGGCAACCCUGUUGUACCUAAAGUAGGAACUGCAGCUACAGAGGAUGUUCUUGUGGGCAUUGAACUCAAAGCCAUUGACCUUGAUGACCACGUCGCAGAGCUUGCCCUCUAGCCUAAGCUCGUUGAAGAUCUCACAGGUCAUCGCACUCAUCUUCCUCUCCAUGUGAGCUCCGCACUGGCCCCCCAGACACCGCGUUCAUGGAAACCAGGCCAGAGGAGGCAGAAGGGAGAAGCAACAUGAUGAGCCUGUCAUUCUGGCCCAGCUGUCCAGGCCCCUCCUGCGCUCUGGACACGAGGUAGACACUCAGCAUCUUCUGUAGGCGCGGGCCCAGAAACGCCUUCUGGGUGUUCAACCGCACCCGCCGUGGGGCUCCUUCACCCACCUCCAUCCUGCGGCCCUUUCCUCUGCAAACGAAGCCCGAAGCGACCACGCUUGCUGGGGUUUUGCUCUAGAAAGUGGCGCCCAGUCAACCCAACCCCUUGGGACCGUCACCCUCCUCCACACAGAGCCCCCAACAGGGUCAUCCCCAGCGCGGGGCGCAGCG